rnacentral:rRNA from 1 species
AUGAACGCUGGCGGCGUGCCUCAUACAUGCAAGUCGAGCGCACGGACGAGAAGCUUGCUUCUCUGAUGUUAGCGGCGGACGGGUGAGUAACACGUGGAUAACCUACCUAUAAGACUGGGAUAACUUCGGGAAACCGGAGCUAAUACCGGAUGAUAUUUUGAACCGCAUGGUUCAAAAGUGAAAGACGGUCUUGCUGUCACUUAUAGAUGGAUCCGCGCUGCAUUAGCUAGUUGGUAAGGUAACGGCUUACCAAGGCAACGAUGCAUAGCCGACCUGAGAGGGUGAUCGGCCACACUGGAACUGAGACACGGUCCAGACUCCUACGGGAGGCAGCAGUAGGGAAUCUUCCGCAAUGGGCGAAAGCCUGACGGAGCAACGCCGCGUGAGUGAUGAAGGUCUUCGGAUCGUAAAACUCUGUUAUUAGGGAAGAACAUAUGUGUAAGUAACUGUGCACAUCUUGACGGUACCUAAUCAGAAAGCCACGGCUAACUACAUG